UACUUUUGCUGCGAAUCACUGCAGCUGUGGUUAGAAGGGGAGCUGUUACAUGAGUGUUGUAGAAGGCAGGCUGGACCACUGGAAGUUUGAAGAGAGCUGCUGGGAAGGGGAACUUUGGAACUGAGGCCAUCCCAGCAGAGCCCUGCAAAGAACUGGAGCUGGCCUGGGCAGUCACCCGGAGGGGAUAUUGUGUGUCACACCACACAUCUGCCACAGCUGCCAGAGUACAGUGGGACCUUGUUUCAGCACAGCCAGCCGCAAAAGCUCAUUUGCCAAUAAGAGGAUGAUAAGAAAUAUUCUACAAGAUCUGAAGAAUGUGCCUGCAGUGGGUUGAGUUUUCCUAAGGACUUUCUUCUGCACAGCUGGAAGCAUUGGAGGGAGCUGCUCUGUGCUGAGGUGAAGUCAGGAUGCUAAUCAUUCCCUUUCCAGUCUGGACUGUUGUUUAAAAAUGCAGGAGCUAAAAGGCUUAAUGGUAAAUGUGUGUUUUGAAUAUUCAGAGCAGCAACUUAGUGUUUGUUCUUGCUGCGAGUCACUGAGAUGAUGGUCUGGCUCUCGGGAGCGUGUCCUUACACCUUCCUGUGCUUGUGUUUGUGCUGACUGUGGGCAGAGAGCAGCCCAGUUGAAAAGGGAUCAGUUCCCCUUUGAGCACAGGAUCUCCUUUAUCCCAGGACUAAAGAUCAGAAAGAAGAGAGGGUGGUUGUGGAGGA